UNGAUGGGUAUAGGCAAGCAGCAUAGUAU
rnacentral:piRNA from 1 species